AAAUAAGUUGCACUUUAAGAGAUGCUGACGUGUGACUUCUUCCAAUGCAAAUUGCUACAGCAUCUCAAGUCCCUGUGAGGAGAGGAUCCAGUGGACCAUGUGACAAAGUUCAGUGAGAUGCAAAGGAGUCCCAUAUUUUCAUUUCGCACCAUGGCCCGGGAAUUAUAUAGCUGACCCUGCAUGGAGAUGAUGGCUGG